GCCAAAAACCUAGCCCAACAAACAUGAAUUCCUCCAAGCUAACUAAACCCUCUUAACAAACCAUUUUAACAUUCUAGUAAAGGAGAUUGAAAAACUUAUUGGAGCUUUAAAAAUAGUACCGCAAGGGAAUGGUGAAAUAUUAUGAAAACUUCUAAGCAAUAAAAAGUAAAGAUUACCUCUUGUACCUUUUGCAUCAUGGUUUAACUAGUCUAAUCAAGCAAAACGUAUUUAAGUUUGACUUCCCGAAACUAAGUGAGCUACUUCAGGGCAGCUAGAAGAGCGAACCCGUCUCUGUAGCAAAAGAGUGGGACGACCCUUAAGUAGUGGUGACAGACCUAACGAACUUAGUGAUAGCUGGUUACUCAAGAAACGGAUUUUAGUCCAACCUGAAAGCCCCCAAAAUCAAGUACAUCAAAACAAUCAUUCGGCUUUCAACGUAAUUCAAAUAAGGUACAGCCUAUUUGAAACAGGAUACAACCUAAACCAGUGGAUAAGAUCAGCCCAGCAUACAAUCAAGUGGGCCUAAAAGCAGCCACCUUAAGUAAAGCGUCAAAGCUAAAUUGUAACCGCGCCAAAUUACCCAAUCUUCAUCUCAACCCCCAACCAAUACUGAGUAAUUCUAUAACACUAUAGAAAUUUUUAUGUUAAAACUAGUAACAAGAAGAAGACCCUUCUCUUAAAUGUGUGUGUAAAUCAGAAAAGACAAACUACUGAUACUUACACCCCCUGAGCUCAAAGUAGCAACUAACCAAGAAAACCCUACUUUCAUUAGUGUUAACCUAACACAAGAACAUUCCGAGAAAGAUUUAAAGAAAAAGAAGGAACUCGGCAAAUAUUAACCUCGCCUGUUUACCAAAAACAUCGCCUCUUGAAUUACUAUAAGAGGUCCAGCCUGCCCAGUGACCCUGUUCAACGGCCGCGGUAUCCUAACCGUGCGAAGGUAGCGUAAUCACUUGUUCUCUAAAUGUGGACUAGUAUGAAUGGCAUCACGAAGGUUAUACUGUCUCCUUUCUCUAAUCAGUGAAACUAAUCUCCCCGUGAAGAAGCGGGGAUAGCGCUAUAAGACGAGAAGACCCUAUGGAGCUUCAAACAAUACAGCAUCUGCCCAAUAAUACUGAAAUUUCCGAAUUUAAACUUCUCUGGACAGUAUGACUGUGAGUUUUUGGUUGGGGUGACCACGGAGCACAACAUAACCUCCAUGCUGAAAGAAAAUAUCUAAGCUAAGAACCACAAAUCUAAGCAUCAAUAAAUUGACAUCCAUUGACCCAAUACACUUGAACAACGAACCAAGUUACCCUAGGGAUAACAGCGCAAUCCACUUCAAAAGCUCCUAUCGACAAGUGGGUUUACGACCUCGAUGUUGGAUCAGGGUCUCCCAGUGGUGCAGCCGCUACUAAAGGUUCGUUUGUUCAACGAUUAAAACCCUACGUGAUCUGAGUUCAGACCGGAGAAAUCCAGGUCAGUUUCUAUCUAUAUCUGAGUCUCUUCUAGUACGAAAGGACCGAAAAGACGUGGCCCAUGUUUACACAAGCCACCGCUACAAAAUUAUGAAGUAAACUUAAUAAUAUCAUAGCCUAUAAAUCUGCUCUAGACAAGAGCU
rnacentral:rRNA from 1 species